GAUGAACGCUGGCGGCGUGCCUAAUACAUGCAAGUCGAGCGAACAGAUGAGGAGCUUGCUCCUCUGACGUUAGCGGCGGACGGGUGAGUAACACGUGGAUAACCUACCUAUAAGACUGGGAUAACUUCGGGAAACCGGAGCUAAUACCGGAUAAUAUAUUGAACCGCAUGGUUCAAUAGUGAAAGACGGUUUUGCUGUCACUUAUAGAUGGAUCCGCGCCGCAUUAGCUAGUUGGUAAGGUAACGGCUUACCAAGGCGACGAUGCGUAGCCGACCUGAGAGGGUGAUCGGCCACACUAGAACUGAGACACGGUCCAGACUCCUACGGGAGGCAGCAGUAGGGAAUCUUCCGCAAUGGGCGAAAGCUUGACGGAGCAACGCCGCGUGAGUGAUGAAGGUCUUCGGAUCGUAAAACUCUGUUAUUAGGGAAGAACAAAUGUGUAAGUAACUAUGCACGUCUUGACGGUACCUAAUCAGAAAGCCACGGCUAACUACGUG
rnacentral:rRNA from 1 species